rnacentral:rRNA from 1 species
GACGAACGCUGGCGGCGUGCUUAACACAUGCAAGUCGAACGGAAAGGCCCUGCUUUUGUGGGGUGCUCGAGUGGCGAACGGGUGAGUAACACGUGAGUAACCUGCCCUUGACUUUGGGAUAACUUCAGGAAACUGGGGCUAAUACCGGGUAGGAGCUCCUGCUGCAUGGUGGGGGUUGGAAAGUUUCGGCGGUUGGGGAUGGACUCGCGGCUUAUCAGCUUGUUGGUGGGGUAGUGGCUUACCAAGGCUUUGACGGGUAGCCGGCCUGAGAGGGUGUCCGGCCACAUUGGGACUGAGAUACGGCCCAGACUCGUACGGGAGGCAGCAGUGGGGAAUAUUGCACAAUGGGCGGAAGCCUGAUGCAGCAACGCCGCGUGCGGGAUGACGGCCUUCGGGUUGUAAACCGCUUUCGCCUGUGACGAAGCGUGAGUGACGGUAAUGGGUAAAGAAGCACCGGCUAACUACGUG